GGAGAGGUGACCGAGUGGUCGAAGGUGCGUGAUUGGAAAUCACGUGAAGUGGCAACGCUUCCGAGGGUUCGAAUCCCUCUCUCUCCGCCA
rnacentral:tRNA from 1 species